GACAGAGGUGCCGAGCGUUAGGCGGAAUCACUGGGCUUAAAGCGUGUGUAGGCGGACCGUUAAGUACCUUGUGAAAUCCCCCGGCUCAACCGGGGAACGGCUGGGUAUACUGGCGGUCUUGAGCCAUCCAGGGGCAGUCGGAACAGACGGUGGAGCGGUGAAAUGCGUAGAUAUCGUCUGGAACGCCGAAGGUGAAAACAGAACUGCUGGGGAUGCGCUGACGCUGAGACACGAAAGCCAGGG
rnacentral:rRNA from 1 species